rnacentral:rRNA from 1 species
UACGUAGGUGGCGAGCGUUGUCCGGAAUUACUGGGUGUAAAGGGCGUGUAGGCGGGAAUGCAAGUCGGAUGUGAAAUUCCGUGGCUCAACUCCGGGGCUGCAUCUGAAACUGCAUUUCUUGAGUGCUGGAGAGGUAAGCGGAAUUGCCAGUGUAGCGGAGAAAUGCGUAGAUAUUGGGAGGAACACCAGUGGCGAAGGCGGCUUUCUGGACAGUAACUGACGCUGAGGCGCGAAAGCGUGGGGAGCAAACAGG